CAGUCGGUCGGGCAGCCGCGCCUGUCAUGUGCCGAAAGGCGGCAGGUGAGGAAAGUCCGGGCUCCAAGGAAACACGAUGCCGGGUAACGCCCGGCGGGGGCGACCCCAGGGAAAGUGCCACAGAAAGCAAACCGCCCCGUCUUCCGUACCGUUUCGGGUAAACGGCAGGGAUGACGGGGUAAGGGUGAAAGGGUGGGGUAAGAGCCCACCGCGCCGGCAGCAAUGCAGGCGGCACGGUAAACCCCAUCGGGAGCAAAACCGAAUAGGGACGGCGCGUCGGCUCGAAAGGGCAGGCAAUCGGUUUCCGGAUCAGCCGUCCGGGUGGGUUGCACGAGGCGGGUGGCGACAUCCGUCCCAGAUGAAUGGCUGCCGCGCCGGGCGCAAGCCCGGCCGUACAGAACCCGGCUUACAGACCGGCUGAC
rnacentral:RNase_P_RNA from 1 species